rnacentral:lncRNA from 1 species
AUAAGAAUUGGGGGAAAAUCCUAUAAAAGUUUGGGGGUGAUCCUAUAAAAAUUGGGGAAAAAUCCUAUAAAAUAUUGGGGAAACCCUAAAAAAGUUUUUGGGAAAAUUCUGUAAAAAUUGGGGGAUGAUUCUAUAAAGUUUGGGGGAAAUCCUAUAAAAGUUUGGGGAAGAUCCUAUAAAAAUUGGGAGAAAAUCCCAAAAAGGUUUGGCAGAAAUCCUAUAAAAAUUGGGGGAAAAUCCUAUAAAUUUUUGGGGGUGAUCCUACAAAUAUUGGGGAAAAAUCCUAUAAAAUAUUGGGGAAAACCUAUGAAAGUUUUGGGGAAAAUUCUAUAAAAAUUGGGGGAAGAUCCUAUAAAAUAUUGGGGAAACCCUAUAAAAGUUUUGGGG